rnacentral:lncRNA from 1 species
UUUUUUUUUUUUUAACCUUUGCUUACCGAUACCUGGUAUUCUGGUCCUCUCGAAGUAUUAGUGAAAAUGGAGGGUGGUGAAGUCUUAGGACUUUUGUCUUGGAAGCAGCAAAGGGGCCUUUCCACUACCCUGCUGCUGUGACCAGUAGACUGAGCUUCACAGGCAGAUUUCCCUCCCUUACAGUUGAAUUAGUCUGGAGUAUUCUUUUUAGAAACAGUUUUCAAUUAACCAAAGAAAAGGGAUUGGGGACUCUUCUUAGUUCAUGCAUCUAAUUCAUUUAUUAUCCUCAUACACUCUGGCAGUCAGGAUUUUCUCUCCAAGGUCUCCUUGAUAUAGGAGACAUUUCCUACCUCUCUUUCUGAAUCAUCCUGAGACACCUCAUUGUGAUUAGCAAGGAAGGAUGGUCUGUCAAAAGCCUCUGAAUUAUUUUAUCACAUUAGGAGUCACCCAAGCACAACUGAUUGGAAGUAGCUGUGUGUGAUUCAGAAGAGUCCCCAAAAAGCUCACCCCCACACUUGCAGUUUUCCUCUUACCCACUUCACGAUGCCUGUUCUUCCUGUCUACAUUGCCACAAAGCAUCUGAAGCCCUUGCCUCACCACAUGCGCCUGAGCUGUGGGGUUUAAAAUUCUGUGUGUGUGUGUGUGUGUGUGUGUGUGUGUGUGUGUAUUUGUAAGUGUUUACAUAACAGACAACCUUUGAGGUGAGGAAGAACUCCCAGUCCUACCAUAUGGUCAGAAGCUUUGUCUGAAGCUUGAGUAGUGGUCUUGCUGAGCUCGACUUUGUGGCCUCAUCCCUUCUCUCACAAUGCUGCUAUUUGUCCUCAUCAGGAGUACAUGGCUUAUCUUCUAUUCAUGGUCAUGCCGUUCUGAGCAUUGGUGAAUAUAGUAUACAUAGUAACAAGCUGUCUCAAGUACACUAGUCUGCUUUCUCAAGACAGCCAACUAGUGUGGGUCCUACCUCAUUGCCUUAAGCAUGAGUUGUUUCUGUUGGCCAUGGGUUUGCUAGGCUGUUCUGAUUGUAAAUUCUAUUUUUAAUGCAACAGAAAUCAUGUUUUUUUUUUGCUUUGCUUUAUAUUCUUAAUUCAUUUUUAUUGAAUAUUUUCAGAUAUCACAUAAUAUUCUGAUCAACUUAGUUGAUAAUAGAUUAUAAUAGAAUUUUAGAGAUAAGUGGGAUAUUCAUAUUCAUCUCCUCUUGUAAACUUCCCCCAACUCCAAUGCAACACACACACACACACACACACACACACACACACACACACACACACACAGAGAGAGAGAGAGAGGGGGGGGAGACAGAGAGAGAGAGACAGGGAGAGAGAGACAGAGAGAGAGACAGAGACAGACACAGAGACAGACACAGACACAGAGACAGACACAGAGACAGAGGAGAAUUUCUGAGUCAAAGGAAAUAAGGACAGUUGCCCAAAAUAGCCCAAUCACUGAAGAAACUGGACCAGCAUUUAACUUCGUGUGUGUCCUGCUGCAGUAGGUCAUCACCAUGAAGUUUUCCAUUUGACCAUUCUUUUUUUUUGUUGUUGGUUUUGGUUUUUAAACUUUAAUUAAUUUACUUUACAUCCUGCUUCAUUUCCCCCCUCUUCUCCCAGUCUUUCCCUCCUUCCUCUCCUCUUCCCUAUCCACUCCUCCCCUUUUCUCUUCAGAAAAUGGGAGGCCUCCAUGGAUAUCAACCAGCCCAGGCAUAUCACUCUUUAUGAAUCUACAACAAGGUACUGGCACUGUAGACCCCUGAGGUGCACCCCAGCGUCCCUGAAUUUGGAAUACCUGGGAACACAUCCCAGAUCUCUCACAGUUAUUUCCAGGAUGUGUUUCACUAUCCUGUUUGUCAAAUGGACAUAUAGUCUUGUGAAGAUUAAAUGCCCUAAAUGGAAUGAUGCAGGUAUUUAAUACCCCAUAUCCAUCAUUUUUGUCUGAGUGCUUUGAAUGGUAACAGAGAGAAAGUAAGUAGUCUAUUAUAAAUCCCAUUGGAGGUUUAUGUCAGCCUGAGUGUUAGAGCUCACUUAAGGUCUCUCCAUCUCUCUUUCUCUCCCCUCCCAUUCCUUUCUCUCUCCCUCCAUCCCCCAUAUAUGUAUGUAUUUAUACAUACAUAUCAGCACACUUCUGUUAUCUCUAGGCACACUUUGUGUUCAUCACAACUUACUUAGCCACUUGUCUUCCACACCUACUACUGAGAGUGACUGAAAGCCUUGGGCACUAACAGUGAUGCGGCAGAGCAUGCUGGUGAAGGUGGAAGUUCUCAAUAAGCUCUUCAGGCAUAUUUUCUUGCUCAUUGCAUUUCUUUAAAACAUAGCCUAGUAAUUUUGUUCAUGACUUAGAGGACAAAGGGAUUAGCAAUAGGACCCCUAAAGACUUGUGGAAUAACUACUUUCUGCUAAGCACGAGCCAGUGUUCUGUUCCUCCAUGUAAUAAUGAAAAUUACUAUGUGGAAUUCAACUGGUGGGAGGAGUGAAGAGUUUUUAUGAAGCGAUGGCACUGCAUUGUCUGCCUCUGUGAAUGAUGUGGGAGAGAUAACCACAAAGUAUUGCUACCUAACUGCCAUGUCUGUCAGUCCACUGCCAAUGGCUGUGUGGGAAGAGAGGAAGGCCCAGUUGCAAUCAGGUCUUUGUCAUCGUUGUGUCAUGGGUGAAGCAUUGCCAAGCUCAGAUCUCACUUGUGUGAUGAGUGAGGUACUUGAGACUCAGCAUGUUUGUACUUGACUUCAGCGUUGAGAUGAUUUACCGUGGCUAAUGGCAGAGGUAAGGGCUGUGUUCCGGAAGUGCUGGACCUGUGGAAUCAACUGAGAGGACUCUUGCCUCUCCCUGGGUGAGUGGACCUGGUUUCUGCCUACAUUUGCAGAGUGUGUCUUCUGAAGCAGGCUUCCUUUGUGGCUUCCUGGAGCCUGUCAUUCACUCCCCCUUUCUUAGCUGUAGCUGACUACUCCUUUAAAAGGUCAGAGAGGACUUGUGACAGGAAAAGCCAGGAAGGACCAAUAAGAGGUCCUUUGGUGUGGAAUAAGCCAGAGAGGGAAAUUUACCUUUGAUAGUGGAAAGAAAGUCUUGUUUUACUGGUGUAAUGGCUUUCUUGUUUCAUGCCUAAGAAAAUGUUUUCCUUUAAAAGGAAAGAAACAUUUAAUUGGGUGUGUGCUUAGUGGAGAAAAUGUAUUUUUGGAUGAGGGAUAUUUUUUCCUGUUUCAGCUGUGAUGAAUUAAGAAUAGCAGUAACUGGCAAACAAAACACUUGAAAUGGCCUGCAUUCUCUCAAAUUGGGAAGAAGAUAGUUGUGGUAGUUCCUUGCCUGUUUGGGGAGAGCUGAAAUAGUGUUGUGAGAUGUAUUUUUUUUUCAUACAGAGGCCAAGCCCUGCUGAAUUUUGUAGUUAGUUGAGCUAUAGAGACUGAGAUUGCUGGACAAC